GACGAACGCUGGCGGCGUGCUUAACACAUGCAAGUCGAACGGAAAGGCCCUGCUUUUGUGGGGUGCUCGAGUGGCGAACGGGUGAGUAACACGUGAGUAACCUGCCCUUGACUUUGGGAUAACUUCAGGAAACUGGGGCUAAUACCGGAUAGGAGCUCCUGCUGCAUGGUGGGGGUUGGAAAGUUUGGCGGUUGGGGAUGGAAUCGCGGCUUAUCAGCUUGUUGGUGGGGUAGUGGCUUACCAAGGCUUUGACGGGUAGCCGGCCUGAGAGGGUGAGCGGCCACAUUGGGACUGAGAUACGGCCCAGACUCGUACGGGAGGCAGCAGUGGGGAAUAUUGCACAAUGGGCGGAAGCCUGAUGCAGCAACGCCGCGUGCGGGAUGACGGCCUUCGGGUUGUAAACCGCUUUCGCCUGUGACGAAGCGUGAGUGACGGUAAUGGGUAAAGAAGCACCGGCUAACUACGUG
rnacentral:rRNA from 1 species